CGAUGUCUGCCAGGGCCACGUCUGCCAGGGCCACGCCUGGUCCAGUCCACAGAUCUGUUGGGAUGCACUCAGAGAAAAUCAAUGUCACCACUAGAAAUUCCUCACACCAGGAAGGAGCCAUGUUUUAUUGCACCUGAAACAUAAUGCUUGACUUCUUGGGAUGUGGAAGUAGCAGAUGUGUCAGCAGCUUAGCACUGACUGUGAUGACUGCAGUCACCUGUGGACCUCUCGUUGGAGAGAAGGGGGUUUGAAAAUGAAUUAAAUGGAUUAAAAAUGCAGCUGAAAGCCAGGAUUAUUUAAGGAAUGGAGAACAAUAGGAAAGCAUGACAAGGAAAGAUCAGCCAUUUGACAAUGAAGCAACAUCCUGAGCCUGAAGCACAAUACUAUUGAGACACCUGACUUGACUGCAAUGACUGUGAUGACAAUUUCACCCACAAGGAAAUAGCGGACAAACUCCAGAUCUCUGAAAGAAUGACAAACAGCAUGAAAUACAGGGUCUCCCACAAGAAUGCCAGCGACUUCAUCUCUUAUGGACCUGGGAAAGACCAAACAAAAUUUACACAUGGCUCAAACCCAGACUGGGGUCUGGCAUUUGAAUCAUCCUGGAGUAUUUUCAAUCCAUCUCACUCUAUCCUAGGAUCUGCUUCCUUUUUAAAAGACCUUUAAGCUCAAAACAUCUUAUUUAUACUGUUAUAUCAGCUGAUUUUGAAAUUAUCAGCAUCCACCAGCACAUCUGAAAACCAGAAUACUUAUUUUGCAUUGUAAAUGUGAUGAAAAUUUGAACAUUUUUAAUCUGUAACAUCAAAUUAUUCUGUAUCAUUUGUCUUUUGCAUUUACCAACCAUUAAAGAUCAGUGUUGCCCUGUAA